AGAUGUCUAUAAAGGCUUCAGCGAGUAAGAUUCCUUUGCUUUUCUCUUUGAUAAUCAGUAAGUUAUUCUUGCUAUAAGCAUUUUCUGGGAGAAAGUACAAUCGGACUUCUCCCAUUAUGAUGUUCACUUGCAGUUUUGUUGCAUUUCUGAGUGCUGCAUUCUGUGGUUGGAAUUAGGAUGACUUCUGUAUACUGUAGAACGCGUUAUCAUUUGGUUGACAUAAGGUGCCUUAAAUAGACAUGGCAAAUGGUUAUUUAAUUGCUUAAAGUGCUCGAUCUUCAUAUUUGGAUUGGAGUUCUAAGAUUAUUGGUAUUUUCCUUAUUGAAGACCAUUCUUGAUCAUCAAACAAAUUGAUGAAGUACAGAUCUAGUACAUUAAAUCACGUAAAUUUAGUUGUCCAUUGUUUUUCUGUACCGUUACUAGCUUGAAUAUUGAGCAAUUCUUUUGUUCUAUUUUCGAAAAAUGGAUAGCAUGAUGAAUCAGCAUGUAUUUAGAAACCAUUAUUCUAUUGUAAAUUCAAAUGUUGAAAGCUAGGGAACUAUUUUAGUUAUAUUGAUGAGAGCAUCUCUUCUUUUUUUUUCUUCUUUAUAUCAUCUGAUCAAGGCAUCAUUCACGAAAGAAUUGGCAUUUAUAUUCUGUCUUUCUCUCACGCUUCUCUGUUUCCACAGUGAUGGAUUCUUUUUGCUGUAAAGGAGGUGUGUUUCUUAGAUCAAGGAAGCCACGGCAAGGAGAGCUUGUCGCAAGAAAUUUCUAUUUUAAGUCAGCUUCAACAUGAGAACAUAGUUCAAUAUUACGGCACUAAGGAGGUACUCUACCAAAGUGCACUUCAGGAAGCAUAACCAACCUCAGGGCCUUGUCUAGGGGACUCUUGCCUUGGUACAGUUGAUUUCUGUGGGAGUGGUGUUGAGGUGAUCCAAUGAUUAGUUAGGUGUUAUAAGAGGCCUAGACAUCCAGCUUCAUUAGGAUGAAUAAAUGGUAAACAUCACUGAUGUAGUUUAUUUCAUUUUAUUUGCUUUUUGGUAUGGUUGUCUCUGAUGAAUCUUCCUAGUGAAUUGCGAACGUUGCACUGCUCCGCUCACUCUGUAUUUUGUUCUACCCUUUUCCUCUCUUGCUUUCCGCGCUAGUCUCUCUCCCUUAUUUUAAUCUCUUCUUUACGCUCCCCUCCCUUUUUCCUACUCUCUCUCCUUUGCUUUCCGCGCUAGUCCCACAUGUUCCCCUCCUUUUGACUAAACUCUCUCCUUCCUUUUUCCUUCUUUCUUUUCCUCCUCUUUUCCCCAUUAAUGUUGUGACGAAGUUUCUUAUGUUUGCAGUAAAGACUUAGCAUCAAAGGAAACGAGCUGCUGUAGCAAAAAAUUGAUUGUGAUUUGGGAUUGACCUUAAGUUCUAAAUGGCAAAUUCAGUUUAGCAAAACAUGACUUGGGGUGCUUGGUCCCUAGUAGCUAGUCCUCCAUACUCUUUGCUGUCUCCAUUAACUCUAUCUUUAUCAGCAUUUUUUGGCAAUUAGCUUUGCCAUCCAAUACCUAGGUCAAACAUUGGUUAUUAAUAGCAUACCCAACCCACUCCACCGCCCAAGUUGUUUCCCUCAUUAAACUUCUCAAUUUGUAUUUUUGUUCCACACAAAAUUAGAAUAACGGAAUUUCUAGAUGACGACUAGACAAAUGAAAGCUCCAAAUCAAAUCUCCAAAAAUCCUAAUCUUAACUUUGAUGUUAAUUGUUGUAAAAUUAAAGUGGAAGCCAAUUGGGUCUUGCCUUUAAAUCAAUGUGAGCAAAUGAAAUAACCCAAUAAAUCAAUAAGGAAAAAUAAUUAAUAUAAGAAAUUUAUGCAGUUCGGUCUGAAUUUUAUUCCAUAAAAAGAGUGAGUUGCAAAUGAUCCACUUCACAUGUUCAAUUAGAUGAUAUUUAAAUCUGCGGUAUUUUGGCCUAACGGGGAGUUAACUCAUAGCUUGAAACGCCCGUCUCCAUAAAGAAAAUGGCCACACCUUUUUCUUUCCUCAAGAGUAUAUAUGGCCCCUUCUUUUGUACGGCCGAAAGAAAUCCCACCUCUGUGCGCAAUAUAAACAAAAGUCUCCAAGUAGUCAAACUGGUCAAACUUACAUACUUCUCACCAAUUGAAAGCAAAAUUUGAACAAAUGAAAAUCCUCCAAACGGGUCGGGCUCUGUACCCAACUUAAAAUGACGAAGCGCAUGCAGCUUCCUCUCUCUUUCCCUCAAUUGCUCCGCUCCAUCUAUUUUCUUAUUCCCUUUUCCUCUCUUGCUUUGUAACGCUCAUU